UGGACUGACUGCAGCCUACCAGGCUCCUCAAACUGAUAAUGGAAGGAAAGUGAGUAAAAACUUAAACUUUAGGAUUAUGUUUUCCUAGACCCAGUAGAGAAAGAGUGAUAAAAUCUGGAAAAAUAACACAGGGACGUAAAAAUUCUCAGAGAAAAUCUGUCUCCUAAGCUAAGAGUGUCAGGCUAGAUGACUCAUUUUAUUAUUUCUCUAGAUGCUUUAUAUAAUCAUCACAAAUAUUUCUUUUGUAUAGUUCAAAAUUUGGCUUGUUCGUAUAAGGUGGCUGCUGUAUUCAUUUGUAAGUGCAGUGGAAGCUAAGACUGACGUACAGCAAAUUGUGUGUUUCAUUGUCUGAGAGGGAAGGGAGGAGGGGAGGAGGCAAACCGACAAGAUGAAAAGCAAGUAAGUUAUUGACGUGCAACUGAUUUUCAUUUUUGAAGAAAUGAUGAAAGAGCAGAAUCAGGAAAAAGACAAUUGAAGCCAUCUGAAAUCCACACCAGUUGUUUCACCAGCUUCCCCUGCCCUCCCAGUCUAUGAAAAGCCAGCAUCUCAAGUACACGGGGACUGUGAUGACCACAGGAAGCAACCACGUGACAAGGAGGUGCUGAAGGGGGAUGAGGCCCUGAGAGGAAAAGCCACUGCGCUGCUUUCUCCCUGAGCCAGCCAUGUGCCUUGGCCUCCUGUGCUGUAUGGCUCUUUUAUUCUGGGGAGCAGGCUCCAUGGACACUGAGGUCACCCAGAGUCCCAGUCAUCUGGUCAAAGGAAAAGACCAGAAAGCAAAGAUGGAUUGUGUCCCCAAAAAAGGACACACUUAUGUUUACUGGUAUCGUAAGAAGCUGGACAAAGCAUUCGAGUUUUUGGUUUACUUACAGGAUGAAGAAAUUAUAGAAGAUACAGCCAUGUUCAAACAGAGAUUUUCAGCUGAGUGCCACCAAAACUCACCCUGCAGCCUGGAAAUCAACUCCACCGAGGCAGCGGACUCGGCUCUGUAUUUCUGUGCCAGCAGCCAGUCCACAGUGCUGCACAUCAGCUCUUCUUAGAGCACAAACU